GAUGUAAGUCGUCUUAUCGCUUCAUAUUUUGAAGAGGAAAGUCCGGACAAUACAGAGCAUUAUACUUCUUAACUGGAAGGUCUCUUUUGAGAACAGAUAGUGCAACAGAAAAUAAACCGCCAAUUUGGUAAGGGUGAAAAGGUAAGGUAAGAGCUUACCGAUUAAAUAGUGAUAUUUAAUGCAUUGUAAACCUUAUAAAUUGAAAGAUCAAGUAAUUCGAUAG
rnacentral:RNase_P_RNA from 1 species